rnacentral:rRNA from 1 species
UACGUAGGGGGGCAAGCGUUGUCCGGAUUUUAUUGGGCGUAAAGGGCGCGCAGGCGGUCUACUCAGUUUUGAGUGACAGGUGGUGGCUUAACUGCCACAGGACUUGAAAAAACUGCCGCACUUGAGGGCUUGAGAGGGACGCGGAAUUCCAGGUGGAGUGGUGAAAUGCGUAGAGAUCUGGAAGAACACCAAAGGCGAAGGCAGCGUCCUGGCGAGUCACUGACGCUCAGGUGCGAAAGCUAGGGGAGCGAACGGG